CAUCCACAGCCUCAACCUGUCCCAGUGAUGCAGUUCCAGGGUCCAGCCCUGUCAUGUUGGUGCAUCAUCCUGUUGUCCCCUGACACAUGUUUCAAAGUACAGACAAGUAUUUUAGGAACACUGUGGUGAUGAGGAGCCUUCCUGCUGCUGCGAGGCACCUCAGACUCAUGUUCUCCUUUUCCUUCUGUUUCCAGGGCAGACGUUUUACAAGUGGCUGACAGGUGUCUGCAUAGAGAAACGAGCUUUCUACAGGCUUAUCUCUGGGCUCCAUGCAAGCAUCAACAUUCACCUGAGCGCCAGGUACCUCUUACAAGAUACGUGGUCAGAGAAGAAAUGGGGCCCCAAUGUUACAGAGUUCCAGCAGAGGUUUGAUGAGGUCGUCACCAAGGGGGAAGGCCCCAGAAGACUGAAGAACCUGUAUUUUCUCUACCUGAUUGAGCUGCGGGCUCUAUCCAAAGUGCUGCCCUUCUUUGAGCGCCCCGGUUUCCAGCUGUACACUGGGAAUCAGAGUCACGAUGCAGACAUCAAGAACCUGCUGCUGGAAGUUCUCCAUCUGGCCAAGUCUUUUCCGCUGCAUUUUGAUGAAAACUCCUUCUUUGCAGGGAAUAAAAAGGAAGCUGCUAAACUAAAGGUAACUGCCCAGCCCUUCCCAGGGGAUACUUUGUACCCAUGGAGUGUUUUGGAUGUGUCUGGAGUAAUGCUGCGUCUGAAAGGGACCCAAUAGGUUCAAGGAACUGGAUCAGAUAUUCCCAAUUCAUUCUGGUUUGGGGAUGGUUUGG